rnacentral:lncRNA from 1 species
CUCUGAUUCUCUCUGGCUUUUGACUCACUCCUACCUAUCCUGCCUUCUGCUCUACAGCUAUAAAGACCCAAGAUAAGAGGCGCAUUUACUUAAAAACCAAGUGACCGUUAAAUUACUUACAAGCAGGGGCAAAAGCAGCAGCAAGAUCAACAGGGCCAGCAAGAUCAACAGGGCCAGGGGCAGCAGAAACAGCCACAGCCCCGUCAGCAGGCACACCGGAGAGCUUGCCAACACCCUGCCUGAAGACAACAUACAAGAUUUUUCCCUUUAGUUCACUGAUAGCCCUAUGACUGGUCACCAUCCACUUCGACUUUCGUGCUGUCUAGGAUUUUCUUUAUGUUUUGGCACUGGGAGAGGAGUUGCCCCCAAGGGCACCCACGAGGUCAGAGGUGGCAUAGGAUAUGUCAGCUGCAGCGAUGGCCCUCAUACUUGCAACCUUCGUGAUAUCAGGCAGCAAAACGCAAUCUCUCAUAUUUUCUUUGUUAAAGUAUCUGUUGAAAUAUUUGGCCCAUGUAAACCUAGUAACAUGCUUUGUUGUAAUUGAGUUUUUUAAGUUUUUAAUAUAUUAUGGAGACAAGCCCUUUAUUAGGUGUGUAAUAUCAAAUAACUUCUCAAAGUCCCAAGAUUGAUUUUACUCUCUCAUUUUUGCAUUUUUUUUUGUUCUGUAUUUUUAAUUUUCAUUUUGGCAGAACCAUACUAUGCAGCCCUAGCUGGCCUGGAACUUGCUAUGUAGACCGUUCUAGGCUGGAAAUCACAAGAUCUGCCUACUUCUGCCUCCUAAAGUGCCUGGAUUAAAGGCUAACUGACUGCCAGCCUAGCUCCAGGUUCAGUGAAAUACCCUGUCUCAAAUAACACAGUGACUAGAGCUGAGCACCUGAUGACCUCCCAUAACCCCAGUGAACACCAGCACCUGUCCUGGCACACACCAUAUCCUGUACGUGUAAAUACUACAUAGGUAGCAUCUACUACACUCACAUACAGAAGGAUGAUGUCAAGUAGAUAUCAUUGUUUCCUUCUUUAUUGUAAGAGGGAAAUGUCUAGUUCUGCCUUGUUCAUACACAGUUACCAGUAAACUUUUCUUAUAGGUCACCAUUAUCUCUCAGAGAAACUUGGCUCCUAUCCAAGACACCGCUAAUCGUGAAGUGUAUUCAGUAGAGAGGUGGGAACAGGCACCUUUCCUGACUUUGUGCAAGCUCAGGGUCCUACGUGAAAAAAUUGACAGCUCAUCAUCAGACUGAGAAAAUUUGGUUCUAUUCCUUCUUCGCUGAGGAUUCUUAUGGGAGUAAAUUAUAUCUGAUGUUUCAUCAGCAUCGCUGGAUGCUAUCGUGGGGAUUUUUUUUCUUGUGAUGAUGUGACAUAUGGCAAUGAUUUUUAUCUAUGUGUUUCAUGAAGAGAAUGAAGAUCAGUGCAGAAAUGAUUCUGAAUCCACUGAGACCCAGCAAGCAAUAGCUGAGUGAUGCCUGACCAAGGUACUAGAAAAGAAUUGGUCGUUCAAAUGCUGUGAGUUUGCCCCUUCAUCCCUUUUGUCCUUUAUUGGUGAUAAAUUCAUGUAAGUCAAUGGUGCUGCUUGCAGCCAGCUGGUGGUCACUUUGUUCAUGAAGUCUCACCAACACAACAGUGAGAACUGCAAGCAAAACCAUGACCAUGACACACACACAUGUUGCUAUACUACGUUAACAACAGAAGCUCCCAUUGCAUCUUGAGAAAUUUUCGCUUCAGUUCUCGGUUUGGAACUUCUCGUAUAGGACUUACCUGGAGAAAUGCAUUCCUUCAGAAGCUUUACGGUAUCAACAGUGUUUUGGUGAUGAGAAUUAUUUGUGUCCGUGACUCUUCUUCCACUAUAGUCCCUCCUAUACUUCUAAUGUCCCCAUAGACAAGCCCUACAUGGCAAGGGAAAUGCUUCUGGUCUGCUAUUGUCAUUCAGAAUGAAUUUCUUUCAGGACAUGGGUGACAUGCCAAUGUUGCUUGAGCCAUCUUGCACUGAUGCUGUUGGGAUUUUGUGAGGAGCGGGUGUGGCCACGGCCCCAAGAUGGCGCCAGGGACUGCUGCCAAGUCUUAUGAUUGGCACCUGACUUCCUCAUAUCCCUCAAGAUAGCCACGUACCUUGAGCUGCAUUACGCAGAUGCACCACGACGUAAGAUCGGAUGAUGUGACGAAUGUUGUCCUGAGCCAAUGAAGUGUGCCUACAUGGACUGAGGUGAUGGGGAGUGGACAAGAGGGUAUAAAGGGGGAUGGCCAAGAGAGGUCGGGCAUUCUUUUUUCCUGGACAUUGAAAAGUUCCUGAACAAACUGCCUUGAGAAGGACAUCGGUUUCAUCUCUUCUUUUCUGCUGGUCGGAGACAGUAGCAACAGUAUUUUGCUUUAUUCUAUUUUCAGAUUUGCCUAUUUUAUUUUGUGAAUGUUUGCCUGCAGAUAUGUACCUGCACUGCACGCAUGGCUGGUGCCUGACAGAGGCCAGAAGGUGGUAUCUGAUACCCUGAAUCUGAAGUUACAGAUGGUAGUGAACUACCAUGUAUGUGCUGGGAACUGAACUUGGGUCCUCUGUAAGAGUAUCAGGUGCUCUCAAUGUCUGAGCCAUCUCUUUAUCUCCAAAAUCUAUACUUCACUGUUAUUACCAUUGGUUUGGUGAAAAGUACAGCCUGCUUCAAGUGACUGAUGACGUGGCAUUUUAGAACUAAUGUUAUCUAUAAAUUGGAGAUAGCCUCGAUAUUGUGCUGUUAUAUAAUAUUAUUGUAUUCACACCACACAUCCUGUGUAUAUUUAACAAUAUGUAUAAAUAGUAAAUGCUGUAAUGUAAAAGAGUUACAUUUUGCAAAGCAAAAUGGAACUUGUAAAAACAAAACAAAACAAAAAAAUUGCAAGCUGCUACUGAACUCUCUCAGACAGCUAAAGUGGAAGUUGAUUCUAGAAAGGCCAUUAUGGGGGUAAUUGCCCAAGAGAAUGUUUUCUUACACAGGAAAUUAAAGACAGAGAAAACCUUAUUAAAAGU